rnacentral:lncRNA from 10 species
GGUGAAAGGACAUCUUUGCUGAAGAUGUUUUUGUGAACCUUCCUGGGCUGAUUAUUGGUGUGCACUUUUCAGAAGUGCUGAAUGACAGAGUGAAUGCAAGCUUCCUCAAGCAGUGUGUGAAUUCCAGUUAAUCAACAUCCCUGUCAACAUUUAGACUGUCAGACAAAACUUUGUGCCAAUCCAGGGAGUGUAAAAAGGCUUGCUCACAGGCGAAGCAGCAGUCUGAGGAAGCAUGAGUGGGUUAAGUUGCCUAAGUUGCCGAGAGGGAGAUUGGUGAAGGGGCUCAGGGACCCCCUUCCGCCCCCACCAGGAGAGCAGAAGUGGCUGCUUGGACCUUUCAUUUGGUGCAACUUUGAGGCAGGACUCACACCCUGGAUCUGUCAUUCCUGAAUGAAGCCUGCACCAGCGCCCUCAGACCAGGCUUCAUUAGAUCCAACUUAUUCCUAUGAACUGGCCUCUGAUCUUAAGCUCCUCUUCCAGAGAAAGGACAUAGAUAAGUAAAAUGUGCCCUUGCAAUGCUCUCGAUGUAUCAGGAAUUUCUUCAUUCUUAGAGGAAUCUCUAUGCUCUUUUACAUUCUGUAAAAACUCUUAACUGGUGCUAAAUCACCAUGUAGUAUAUACAAUGAACUUGGUCUCUCUCUACUGGUUAGUCCCUUUUAUUACCAUGGCCAGUGGUCUCCGGGAAGACAAUACAAUAGUCAGUUUUCCCCACAUCACAGUGAAGGGAAAUAGCCUGUUCCAAUGCUGGAUAUGCUAUAGGCACCCAUGAACUUGGUCUGCCCAAGUGACAGAACUUGUGGCAAUCUUCACAUUUCACUUUCACCCACAGAACUGGAGCAAGCUCCCC